rnacentral:rRNA from 1 species
UGGGGAAUAUUGCACAAUGGACGAAAGUUUGAUGCAGCGACGCCGCGUGGAGGGUGUAGGCCUUCGGGUUGUGAACUCCUUUUUCUCGCGAAAAAGGCACAGUUUUGGCUGUGUUGAUGGUAGUGGGUAAAGAAGCGCCGGCUAACUACGUGCCAGCAGCCGCGGUAAUACGUAGGGCGCGAGCGUUGUCCGGAAUUAUUGGGCGUAAAGGGCUUGUAGGCGGUUGGCCGCGUCUGCCGUGAAAUCCUCUGGCUGAACUGGGGGCGUGCGGUGGGUACGGGUUGACUUGAGUGCGGUAGGGGAGACUGGAGUUCCUGGUGUAGCGGUGGAAUGCGCAGUUAUCAGGGGGAACACCGGUGGCGAAGGCGGGUCUCUGGGCCGUUACUGACGCUGAGGAGCGAAAGCGUGGGGAGCGAACAGG